AUCCAGGACAAUGGGCGAAAGCCUGAUCCAGCCAUGCCGCGUGUGUGAAGAAGGACUUCGUAUUGUAAAGUACUUUAUGAGGGAAGAAUGUGCAGUAGGUCAACACCCCGCAAUUUCUCCGUCACGAACAGAAUAAGCACCGGCAAAAUUCGUGCUAGCAGCCGCGGUAAAACGAACGGUGCAAGCGUUAAUCGGAAUUACUGGGCGUAAAGCGCGAGUAGUUGGUUUGUUAGGUUGGAAGAGAAAGCCCCGGGCUCAACCUGGGAACUGCUUUCAAAACUGGCAAGCUAGAGUAUGGGAGAGGGUAGUGAAAUUUCCUGUGUAGCGGUGAAAUGCGUAGAUAUAGGAAGGAACACCAGUGGCGAAGGCGACCACCUGGGCUAAUACUGACACUGAGGUGCGAAAGCGUGGGGGGCAAACAGG
rnacentral:rRNA from 1 species